AGCACAAGCACAACCAUUUUUGGCUACGCACAAGCUGAUAGUAGCAGCAAUAAUUUGCAUCCAAAAUUACUGCAUACCUGCAUGCCUGCAAUCCGCAUUUCCUCGAUGGAACAAAUCAAUGAUUGGUUAAUACGGUAAAAUGGGCUCGAUUAAAAAAAUAAUAAAAAAAAAACCCACGCACACAAUUCAGGACUCUUCUUCUGCGUGGACCUUCUUAAUAAUUCCACUGAACGAGCUG
rnacentral:lncRNA from 1 species